rnacentral:rRNA from 1 species
UACGUAGGGUCCGAGCGUUGUCCGGAAUUACUGGGCGUAAAGAGCUCGUAGGUGGUUUGUCGCGUUGUUCGUGAAAACUCACAGCUCAACUGUGGGCGUGCGGGCGAUACGGGCAGACUUGAGUACUGCAGGGGAGACUGGAAUUCCAGGUGUAGCGGUGAAAUGCGUAGAUAUCUGGAGGAACACCGGUGGCGAAGGCGACAUCCUGGACCGGUAUUGACGCUGAGGCGCGAAAGCCAGGGGAGCAAACGGG